rnacentral:tRNA from 1 species
GACGUUAUAGCUCAGUGGUAGAGUUACUUCUUAGCAUGCACAAGAUCCUGGGUUCAAUCCCCAGUACCUCCA